AAACAUUCCUAUUAAGACCUGAGAAAACGUUCUUGGGUCCUUCCCAUAACAAUGUGAGAUGAGAGGCAAUACUUGGCAAUCGAGACCAUAAAUGGCAGAAUUUUAAGAAAAUGAAAAGGGGGUAAGGGGCAGGAGGCUGUAUAGAAAAGUUCAGUAGACCCUUGAGUAAAGUUUUGGGAUAAAUUCAUGGGAUCCUACUCUUAGAAACAGCAAGUAAAGAAAUGUUUCCUGCUUUAAAAGUAUAGAAGGAAUGCUUCCACUUACUAAUAAGAGUCCAUGAAGCAGGGUCAACAACAUGACCUGUAAUUAAAUGUCAUAGCAGAUCAGUGUUUUAUCAAAGAAAAUAUCUCAAAAUGAAAUGCGAAAUUAGGUAUGGGGAGUUUCUGAUAUGGAAAAGGUUAUUAGUAAAUACUAAACACCAAC